UAUAAAGGGCUAGCUCAGGGAC
rnacentral:miRNA from 1 species